rfam:Triticum aestivum genome assembly, contig: Triticum_aestivum_CS42_TGACv1_scaffold_423259_5BS
UUACUUCUCCCUCCGUCCGGAAUUACUUGUCUCGGAAAUGGAUGUAUCUAGAACUAUAUUUUAGUGCUAGAUACAUCCAUUUCCGAGACAAAUAAUUCCGAACGGAGGGAGUACAUG